UACAGAGGUCCCGAGCGUUGUUCGGAUUCACUGGGCGUAAAGGGUGCGUAGGUGGUGAGGUAAGUCGGAUGUGAAAGCUCCAAGCUCAACUUGGAAAUGGCAUUGGAAACUACCUUGCUAGAGGGUUUGAGGGGGGACUGGAAUACUUGGUGUAGCAGUGAAAUGCGUAGAUAUCAAGUGGAACACCAGUGGCGAAGGCGGCUAUCUGGACGGUUACUGACGCCAAGACUCGAAAGCGUGGGGAGCAAACAGG
rnacentral:rRNA from 1 species